rfam:Ashbya gossypii ATCC 10895 chromosome VI, complete sequence.
UCCUCUUUAGCUUAGUGGUAGAGCGUCGCACUUGUAAUGCGAAGGUCACUAGUUCAAUCCUGGUAAGAGGAA